rnacentral:rRNA from 1 species
GACUGGAUGAAAGGUUUAACAAAAUAGUUGUCUUGAUUUUUUAAGUUAAAUUUAUAGUUUAAAUAAAAAUAUUUAAAUAAAAUUGAGGGACGAUAAGACCCUAAAAGCUUUAUUUAAAAUAGGGUUUUUAGAAAAAUAAGAAAUUAGCUGGGGUAGCUGCUUUGUUAAGAUCAAGGUAAUUGUUAAACUGGGAGGUUUAAGGUCCUUUGUAUAAAGAUAAUUUGGUUUAGUUACUUUAGGGGUAACAGCAUAAUAGAUUCGGAGAGGCCUUAUCUAUGAGUUUGAUUAUGACCUCGAUGUUGAAUUAAGAUAAGUUAUAACGAAGAAAGUAUAAGGAUAGGUUUGUUCAGCCUUUAGAUAUUUACAUGAUUU